rnacentral:rRNA from 1 species
UACGAAGGGGGCUAGCGUUGCUCGGAAUCACUGGGCGUAAAGGGUGCGUAGGCGGGUCUUUAAGUCAGGGGUGAAAUCCUGGAGCUCAACUCCAGAACUGCCUUUGAUACUGAGGAUCUGAGUCCGGGAGAGGUGAGUGGAACUGCGAGUGUAGAGGUGAAAAUUCGUAGAUAUUCGCAAGAACACCAGUGGCGAAGGCGGCUCACUGGCCCGGUACUGACGCUGAGGCACGAAAGCGUGGGGAGCAACAGG